ensembl:lncRNA
GCAUAUGGAGGUUCCCAGGCUAGGGGUCCAAUUGGAGCUGUAGCCGCCAGCCUACACCACAGCCACAGCAAUGGGGGAUCCGAUCCGCAUCUGCAACCUACACCACAGCUCAGGGCAACGCAGAUCCUUAACCCACUGAGCAAGGCCAAGGAUCAAACCCUCAACCUCAUGGUUCCUAGUCGGAUUCGUUAACCACUGAGCCACGACGGGAACUCCCCAAAUCAUUCUCUAUGUAGAUUUUUGUGUGUGUGUUUGUGGCACAAGUUGAGCACCACACCCUAUUCCUCCACCAUCUUGAUCCCCGGAGCACAUAUUUCUUCUACUAAUCAUUCUAUUGCUCAAGCCCGACUAAGAACUUUUUUUGGAGGAUAGCCUCUCUAAGGGUUAGGAAUUGAUUUCAUUUUUAAUUUUAGAAGAAGGAGGAGGACCUCAUAAUUUGUUCAGUGAAGGCUCCUAAGAUUGUUUAUUUUUUUAGGUAACAUUCAUAUGGCUUAAAACUUAAAAGGUACUUAAUAUGUCUUGGGGUUAAUUUAUUACCUAUAUGUAUAGAACUUUCUCAUUCCUUUUAUUCAGCUACCAAGUGUUCUAUCCCAUGGAUACCCGUGGUUUAUUUAACUGGUCUCUGGUUGUGUGUGGGCCUUAAGAUUUUGUUUCCCAUUUUUUGCUCUUCAAAUGAUGGUGCAGUUAUUAACUGUGUUCAAAUGUCAUUUUGCACAUGCGUGAAUCUAUGUUUAGAAUUAGAGGAAUGGUUAUUAAAGUAGAUUUGCAAUCCAAAUUUUAAGACCUUGGUCUCAAAUUUGAUCCCUGGCCCAGAAACUUCCAUAUGCCAUUGUCGAGGCCAAAAAAGAAAAAAAUGGUAAUAAUAAAUAAAAAUAACCCCCUGCCCCCCUCCCAAAAAAAAGAAAGAAAGAAAGAAAAAGGAGUUCCCAUUGUGGCUUAGUGGAAACGAAUCUGACUAGUAUUCAUGAGGAUGCAGGUUCAAUCCCUGGCCUUGUUCAGUGAGCUAAGGAUCCCUAUGUCUGUGGGCUGUGGUGUAGGUUGCAGAUGCAGCUCAGAUCCAGCAUUGGUGUAAGCCAGCAGCUACAGCUCCAGUUCUACCCCUUAGCCUGGAAAACUCCCUAUGCUCUGGGUGCAUCCCUAAAAAGACAACAACAACAACAAAAUCCCAAACUGUAGUAUUACCCAGUUGACCACCCAAAUUCUUAACCAGAUUUCAAAUAGCAAAGAUCUGAGACCAUGGAGGGUACUCAAUAGAGCUGCUUCGCCUCUGGAGGCUGUUCUCCAUGAGAACCCAAAUGCACCAGCAGUAGCACUAGAAUAAGUGGAGUGUUUCUGGGGGUGAUGCUGAGGCUGGGAUAACUCUCAGUGACACAGACAUUUCCAUGUACUUCAGACAAGAUUUACUGAGUUUCAAUCCAAAGUCUGCUUAAAAUAAAGAUGAACAGAGAGUGGCCUCGCCAUCAAGAAAUCAGCAGUCGGGAGUUCCCAUUGUGGCUCAGCGGAAACGAAUCUGAUUAGCAUCCAUGAGGAUACAGGUUCGAUCCCUGGCCUCGAUCAGUGGGUUAAGGAUCCAGCAUUGCCGUGAGCUGUGGUGUAGGUCACAGACAUGGCUCAGAUCUGACAUUGCUGUGGCUGUGGGGUAGGCCAGCAGCUGUAGCUCUGAUUCAAGCCCUAGUCUGGGAACCUCCAUAUGCUGUAGGUGCCACCCUAAAAAGACCAAAAAAGAAAAAGAAAAAAGAAAGAAAGAAAGAAACCAGUGGUCUAAGGCAGCAGCUAGUUCUCAAAGUGUGGCCUGGGGACCAGCUGAGGGUUCCUUUCAGAGGGUUGGUGAGGUCAUAACUCUUUCAUAACAGUACUAAUAUGCUAGCUGCCAUUUUUUCUCUUUGUCUUUCUCAAGGUACAGUGAAGUUUUCCAAAGGCUACAGGACAUGUUUAAUGUCAACAGGUUGAAUGCAGAAGCAGGUCUGAGAAUCUAGUGCUCUUUUAUCAAGUCAGAUAUUAAUAAUUAGUUUGGCAAAAAUAUAAAGCAACACCUCUCUUCUCACAAAAUUUUUUAUGAUUUGGAAAAUCUGGUUAUUUUUCAUAAAACUAUGUUAAUUAUAUUAUUAUGCAAUAGUGAUAGUACUAUUUUUUUUUUUUUGUCUUUUUGCUAUUUCUCGGGCCACUCCCGUGGCAUAUGGAGGGUCCCCAGGCUAGGGGUUGAAUCGGAGCUGUAGUCUCUGGCCUACGCCAGAGCCACAGCAACUCGGGAUCCGAGCUGCAUCUGCAACCUACACCAGAGCUCAGGGCAACACUGGAUCGUUAACCCACUGAGCAAGGGCGGGGACUGAACCCACAACCUCAUGGUUCCUAGUCGGA